rnacentral:rRNA from 1 species
UUGUGUGCCCGGCAUGACAGUGACGCUGGGAACAGCCUGCGCACUGCUCGUUCUGGAUCUGCUGGUAGAAAUCGUUGCCUUUGUCAUCCACCAGGAUAAACGCCGGGAAGUUCCACUUCAAUUCCAGAUAGCUUCCAUGCCCAGUCCGGGUAGGCCACGCAUUCCAGACUCUUAAUGCUCUGCUGCGCCAGUACGGCCGCCGGGCCGCCGAUGCUGCCGAGGUAGAAACCGCCGUGUUUAUGGCAGGCAUCCGUGACCUGCUGGCUGCGGUUGCCUUUGGCAAGCAUCACCAUGCUGGCGCCGUUGGAUUGCAGCAGAUCGACGUAGGAGUCCAUGCGGCUGCGGUGGUUGGGCCCAGAGAGCCAGAGGCAUAACCCUCGGGCGUUUUCGCCGGGCCUGCGUAAUAGAUAGGGUGAUCUUUCACGUACUGCAGGUAAAUGCUUUCGCCGUUAUCCGGCAGGUUCUUUCAGGCUUGGCUGUNGGGCACAUGUCGCGCGCAAACGAUUGAU